rnacentral:rRNA from 1 species
AUGAACGUUGGCGGCGUGCCUAAUACAUGCAAGUCGAACGGAGAGAUCGAUGUAGCAAUACAUUGAUUUUCUUAGUGGCGAACGGGUGAGUAACGCGUUGGUGACCUGCCCCAAAGAGAGGGAUAACAGUUCGAAAGGACUGCUAAUACCAUAUGUGAUCAUUUGGAUUAGAUGCCUUAUGAUUAAAGGAGCUUGCUCCGCUUUGGGAGGGGCCGGCGUGCCAUCAGCUAGUUGGUAGGGUAAUGGCCUACCAAGGCUAUGGCGGCUAGGGGACCUGAGAGGGUGGCCCCCCACAAUGGAACUGAAACACGGUCCAUACACCUACGGGUGGCAGCAGUAGGGAAUAUUGGUAAUCUGCGAAAGCGGGAACCAGCAACGCCGCGUGUGCGAAGAAGGCCUUCGGGUUGUAAAGCACUUUUCGGGAGGAAGAGGAAGGACUGUACUCCCGGAAUAAGUCUCGGCUAACUACGUGCCAGCAGCCGCGGUAAUACGUAGGAAGCUAACGUUAUUCGGAUUUACUGGGCGUAAAGCGCGUGCAGGCGGUUCGGUAAGUUGGACGUGAAAGCUCCCGGCUCAACUGGGAGAGGUCGUUCAAUACUGCCGGGCUAGAGGAUGGUAGAGGGAAGUGGAAUUCCGGGUGUAGUGGUGAAAUGCGCAGAUAUCCGGAGGAACACCAGUGGCGAAAGCGACCUCCUGGGCCAUUCCUGACGCUCAGACGCGAAAGCUAGGGUAGCGAACGGG